rnacentral:rRNA from 1 species
UACGAAGGGGGCUAGCGUUGCUCGGAAUUACUGGGCGUAAAGGGCGCGUAGGCGGAUAGUUUAGUCAGAGGUGAAAGCCCAGGGCUCAACCUUGGAAUUGCCUUUGAUACUGGCUAUCUUGAGUUCGGGAGAGGUGAGUGGAAUGCCGAGUGUAGAGGUGAAAUUCGUAGAUAUUCGGCGGAACACCAGUGGCGAAGGCGACUCACUGGCCCGAUACUGACGCUGAGGCGCGAAAGCGUGGGGAGCAAGACGG